GAAGAAAGAAAAAGAAAUGAAGAAAGAAAGAGAAAGAAAUCACUGUCAUUUCUUAAAGGUAGAGUAUUACAAAAACAUAAUGCAAUACAAUAUGUAUUUCAUUUUAAAAUUUAGGGGAUUGUGUAUAACUCUUAGAAUGUAUAACUCUUACAAUUCUGGAGGUAAGAAUUGAAGUCCACAGUAUUUAAAACAGGCAACAUUACUCUAUCAGAGCUCAUUGGUUAAUUCUUUUCAGUUCAGUAAUACUGACAGUGGCAUCCAUAGGUUUUAAUAUUUAUUUGGGGGCAUUGAUAUCAGGAACUAAUGAUUGGUAAAGAGAACGACCUGCUACUCUGGUUUAUCCAGGACUGAGGGUUUCCUGGGACAUAGGACUUUUAGUGGUAAAACCUGGAAAGUCUGAGGCAAGCCAGAAUGAGUGGGUCACCCUACUAAGAAAUCACCGUUAAAAUUUGUACCAACCCCAUAUUCUAUGAUUUGCACUGCAACAAGUUUGCUGAGGGUUAAUGAAAAUUUCCCCUGAUUUAAAUGCAUAAACAUAUUUUUACCUAGUUUUAUUGCCCCAAGAACUUUGUCUCAUGGAAUUAAUAUUCUUUAAGGAGUCUUACACAGGCAUUUCUUACAAAAAAGGGGACCUGAGUGAUUACAUAUGUAUUUUACCCCCCUUGGUUGGGAUUGGGAAGUACAAGCCAAGCAAGGAACAGCUGCCCAUGGGAGUUUUUAAUGCAGAGCAGGGCUUUUUUUCACUUGUUCUAAUUGAAUUACUUCUUUUUCUCUUUAUGGUCUGUUUUCCAUGCAGAUAUUUUUGGAAUGUAAAAUUAAAUAAUUCAUGAUUUCCCAAUCAUUGGUUUAGGUACAGUUGCUAUUUCUUGAGUUGAUUAUACUCCCUUGAGGGAGCUUUUGGAGUCUCCUCAUGUGCAGAGGUUUGGAGAUAAGAAGUUUGCCAAAGUGACAGGGUCUUUUAUAGGUCCAGGCAGGCCAGGAGGGGCAGGAAUAGCAUAGCUGGCUUAUUACUGACCCUCGGGUUACCACACUAUUAAGCAGCUCAAAGGUUGUUAACAUUUUGUGUGUCCUAGAUUCCUUUGGCAGUCUGGUAAAGCCUAGACUCAUUCUCUGAAUAAUUUUUUGAUACAUAAACUAAAGUGGAAUUAUAAAAUAAAUCAGUUAGAUUGAUAUGGCUAUCAAAAUAUUAAAAUAAAAAGUGAUAUAAUAUGCUUCUCUGUUAGAAGACUGAGUAACAGUACCUAGCACUGGCUCUAAUACGUAUCAUAAUUUCAGUGUCAUUAUUGCAGAAAUUUUCCAAAAAGGGCUGCCAUAAAUUUUGUCCCUUGCUGUAAAUGCUUUCUGCUCCUUAUGUGGAGACAUGGGGGUCACUGCUCUCCCCUUGAAUCUGGGCUGGCCUUUGUGACUAGCUGGACUGAUAGACUGUAUUAAUAGAAUAAUGUUCUGGGAUUUGAAGGCUAGGUCACAAGAACCCUUGCAUUAGAUGAUCCUUUUGCCUAGACGUCGCAUUUGCUAUUGGGCUAUUGCCUUUGGAAUAUGGCCCUUAGGCUAUGGGAACCCAAAUCACAUGGAAAGGCCACUUUUGUAGCACUGCUUGGCAGCCCUAGAUGGAGAUAAGCUAUAGCCAGUAGCCAGUCUCAGCUUCCAACUAUGUAAGUGAUCUAUCUUGAUGUCCAGACAAGUUGAGCCCAAUAGUGGGUCUUGCUGAGAAUUCUGAAAUUUUCUUUCCUUUGCCUGCAAGCACGUUAAAAAUGUCCUAUUUUAUUUUUAGGUCAGUGUUACUCAGGAUUUCUUAUGUGUACUAAAUAAUGAUUAAUUAGAAGGGACAUUCUAUUGUUCAGCCCAUUUAGAGUAUAUACAUAAGUGCUGGAGGAGCUAAUGGUCCCAAUGCUAUUCAAGAGAGCUAAAAGAGAUGAAAACCCCUCUUCAAAGCCAAAAUUGAUUUACAUAUAUUCCAUCAUGCUUGUCAAUGACCUCUACCCCAUGAUCUUUACAUCCUGGGGUCAUGUGCCCCUCCUAGAAAGUUACUGUGAUCCAUGAUGCUAAUGCUAAUGGACCAUGACAAUGAGUGUGUUUCUCAGGUGAGUGAAAACAAGGAGAGGUUUGUAAAAGCACUCUAUACUGCUCUCUGCAUAAUGUGUGAUGUGAAAACAGAGUUCAGAAAUCAUGCAUUUAUUGAGCAACUGUUUACUGGGUGCAUAACUUAUUAUGUGUCACCUUGCCUCAUGUUGGAGAUAAAAUGAUGAGCAAAGCAGUUCCAAGACCCACCUGAAAGUUACUGCCUAGUGGGGGAGAUAGAAAUGUAAUUGCCUGUAGUUGAAAAUGAAUACGACUAACAAAUAUGUUACAGGAAACAUUAAGAGAGUGAUGAAAGCAUGUACCGUAGGGCCUGGACCUGGACUGGCAUAGAAGUAAAUUCAAUUAUAAUUCAUAUUUGAAGGCUAAAAGCAACCAUUUAGGUAUUAGCUAUUACUAAUAAGACACCCAGAAUUUCUCAAAGUGUUUCCCCUGAAACUAGCUCCUUAUAAGCAUCACGUGGAAAAAAAUAUAAGUCAAACAAAUUUGGAAAAUUUUGGACUAAGCACAGAUAAAUAUUGUUUUCUUAUUUCUGGUCUUUUCAAAGCCUUUUAUAUGACAGUGUGAGUUGUAUAACUUUCAGGGGGGAUAUAGUAUGAGCUGUUCUCAAGCAUGUUUGAUCAUGUAACACUUCUAUUCACAGAGCAGCUUAUCAUGUUGAGAUUUCAGGGAAACACUUGGAGUACAAAGAGUUCUCACACCUAACUUAGCACUCACACCAUUCUGUGCAUUUCAAUAUCCAGAUAUUAGGAAUUAGGGGCUUAGGUAUCCAGGUAUUAGGAAGAUUAAGUCUUCUGUGAAUAAUAAGCUGAAAAUUAUUAUUUUUAUUAAAAUUAUUAUUAUGGUAUAAAGUUGAUAGUUACAUAAAUUUAUAUCUCUCUUACAUAAAAAUCUGUUCCAUGGUGUCACAGACUUGGAUGCCUUCUACUUUUUUGUCCUUCAGUGUUUUUUUCUAUUUCCAAAGUCACUGUGUGGUCCAGCAAUAUGCUGGAGCACCAGCCAUUGCAGCCACAUUCCAAGAAGCGGAAAGGAGAAAGGAUUCUGCUUAUACAUCUCGCAUGACACUUUUGUUUACAUCUUAAUGGUGUAAACUUAGCCAAAUGGUCACUUCUACCUGGAGGGGAAGGUGGGAAAUGUCGUCUUUUGGCUAGGUGACAAUCUAUUCAGCUAAACAUUGGAGUUCUUAUUACUAAGGAAGGAUAGAAUAAAUACCGGGAAGCAGCUAAUGGCCUCUGCCACAUUAUGUUUUUUCACAUUUUACAGUUGAUGGAAGUGACCCCAAGAGGGCAUGCCCAAGAAAGAGCUCAGAGAUCACAGAGACAGUAGAGUCAAAUCUAGGCCUCUGGAUUCUUGAGUCUGUCUAGUUCAUUACACUGUUCCUAUUUAAACAUAUGGGAGGAAUUAAAAUAGAGCCUUUCAAAAGCUGUGUUAUUAAGGAUCAUGGUGGUAUACACAGAUGACACCAUUGCAAAGUAUAUUUUAGGGAAAAAAUAUGAAUAUAUGUUUCCUAGAGGCAUAUCCCCAGAUUUGGAAAUUAGUGGUAUUUGAUUAACAAACAAUUGUAAGCAGUAAGUGACUCCCUUUUGUUUUGGCUGUAUUAUCUGGGCCAGUGUUCUGUUUGUUGGGCUGCUGUGCACUCCAGGGCCUGCUCUGUGUCUAAUGGCCUGUCCUCGCUUUUCUUCAUUUGUAACAUCAGCAAUGCUCUGUAAGCCCUGGAUCUCGUUUGAAACCAUCUGUUUGCCUCUUUAUUUACAUGAUAACGUCACCUGAUUGCAAUUUAGUGUCUGGAUAAAAAACAUUGCUCUUACCUAGAUUGUGCUGGGUUUUUGUCUGGCUUAAUGACAGACAACCCAUCUGACUGUAUUUUUCAGGCAGCGGUAGUGUGUGGAGAGACAGUGUCUGUAAAGCCCACGCUUGGAGGUGGUGAAUGUUCUGCACUGAGCCCAGGCUGGCUGGGCUGUGGUCAACAGAGCAAAUGGCAGGUACUUCUCUGCUGUCUUCCAGCAUAUUAUUGGCACCAAUGGGGCCUUCUCAUCUUUGUAUUCCGUCUCCAGGGAAGUUCCAGAAGAGUUGAAGUUCUUUGUAUAUUUGUUAGAGGAGUGAGCAAGUAAGUGAAUGCAUGGAUAGAGGCAUGGUGGAUUGAAUGGAAUGCCAAUUAAAUCCCAGCUGCUAUCAUCUGUUCAUAUUGAUGGCAUAGUUGGUGAACAUGUGAUGGAUCAACAGGAAUGAUUGCUGUUGGCAUAGUGAGGCUGAAUGCCUUGGGGUGCCUGCUCUGGGGACAUAGCUGUAGUCCUGAAUCAAAACUCUGAAAUUGAUACACCAGGCCCCUUCCCUCUCCCCUCAGUAUUUCAUAGGGUAGGAAGUAGUGUAUGGCAGCUCCUUCUUUUUGAGAAAUGUAGGGAGAUGAAUAUCUGGAGCAGAGUUUCCUCCCAUAGGUUGAGGUAUUGAUAAUUCCAAUCCUCACCACAAGGGCAUCUUUUUCUUACUAAAUCCAUGGAAAAGGGAAGUGGGUAUGCUCCUAUGAUGGCACAAAUUUUGUGAAUAGGGUUUUUUAGCAAGAUCAUCUCUAGUGAGGAAAUAGAGGCACAUACCUUAGAUAGAAUGGUUCCCAAAUUGCUGACUUCUAAAUCCUCCUAAAGAAAAUUGGGAAAAUCAACCCUUCAAACAAACAACAAACAAAACCAAAAAACAAAACUCUGUCUCUAAGAUCCCAGAAUUCUGGUAAUAUGGGAAAGAACUUCUGAGGCCGAGGCUAUCCUGGAAGCUCCCUGACUCUCUCUUGUUCCUCAGAUAAAAUGUCUUGCCUCUAUCCCUGCUUUCAUUCACCCCAGGUUGCAUUUCAUGUACGACAAAGAGGAUCAAGAGCUUGGUUCAUAAUUUGUAUUUUCCUUCACCCUCACAUUGGCCCCAGGGAGCUGAGGGAAGGGUGUUUUAAAAGUAAAACCUUAGACAAAUUAAAUUUAGCAGAGUUUAAUUGAGCAAAAAA